CCACUCUCCUUCCAAGAGUGAUCUCAACACCACACCUCCAUUGCCACCUUCUUUCAUCACUUCUGGCUCUGAACUCAUCCCUUCCACAGUUAUUGUUAGCUCCUUCACACUUCAUCCUGUUCAUCCCUCUGAUCUCCAGCUCUCUGAUCAUUGGCUUUUAUUGUACCCAUAUCUUAUAUCACCCCAACUUGGAACAGAAGGGUGGUGUGAGUAAGAGCACAGACUUUGGAGGCAGACAGAUCUGGGUUGGAAUUCUGCUUCUUCUGCUUUUUGGCCUAGGUCUUAAUCUUCGAACAGCAUCAAAUAUUCAUUGCCAUUUGACAAAGCUGGGGUUGGAGGAUCCAGCGUUUACAAAAGCAAGUCCUGCCUUACCAUUGGCGAUCCAGUGAGCUUUCAGCAAGAC
rnacentral:lncRNA from 1 species